rnacentral:misc_RNA from 1 species
AAAAAAAAAAAAAAAAAAUUUUGCACGAAGAAGAAACGUUGCUCUCUCUCUCUCUCUCCUUCCAAAAAAAGGGUUCACAGAGAACAAAGCGGGGGUUUUGUGAAGUGAGAGAAAAGUAGAAAACGAAGCUUUUUAGAAAGAGAAACUAAAAAUUCAGUCACUGAAGAGAGAAUUUCUGCAGAUACUGAAAGUUCUAGAUUGAGAUAAUCACGCAGAAACUGGAGUCUUCUUCUCUGUUUUAGCUGUGUCGCUUAUCUGCUAGGGUUUCAUUUGAUUUUUUGUGUAUUAAUUUAUCAAGGAUUGAAAUGGUAUUUAAUUGGUGAAACUAAUAAUUUUGAUCUUUGGAUUAUUGCUGCUCUGCAAAACUGAGAUUUAUCCUUCACUCCUGCAAGUGGAUUGAAACGGUCUUUAAUUGGUGAAACUAUCAAUAAUUGUGAUCUUGGGAUAAUUGCUGCUCCAUGAAACUGAGAUUUAUGUGCCUGGUUAGCCUGUAAUAAUAUUGCUGACGAAGGUAACUGUUCUCAAUGGAAAAAAUGGGAUCAGUAUACCACAAGGACUUAUUUAAUACUUGGAGUUGUGGAAUGUGAAGCACUAUGACACUUGAAGAUUUCUUUACCUUGACUGAGAUGAAAGAUGGGCUCACAGCCCUUUCUCGUGUGCACGAGCUGGUUGCUGUAAUGCAGAAAGAGAAAGAUUGUAUUGUGAAGAACAUUGGUGAUGCAACCAGGCAGUGGGCUGCUGUUGCAAGCACAAUUGCUGCUACAGAGAAUAAAGAUUGUCUUGAUCUUUUUAUUCAAUUAGAUGGACUCUGGUUUAUAGAUAGAUGGUUAAAGGAUGCUCUAAGGUUUGUUAGUGACACAGCUGAUGGCUUUGUAGAAGAGUCUAUUACUGCACUGUUAAGAGCACUGGAAAAACUGAAAAUAGACAAGGAGAGGUGUGUUUCUUCUGGUAUCUGGAUCACUAUCAAUAAUCUUCUUGACCACAGUAGCUCUCGUGUUCAGGAUAGAGCAAGAGCACUGUUUGAUAGCUGGAAUCAAGGUAGGGUAACUGAUGCAAUUCAUCAUGAUAACAAGAGUGCGGGGGCAUUUUGUGAUGCCAUUGUGCUCACCAGUGAGAACAAGGGAGCAGAAUAUGCUGCUGUUCUUCCAAAAGGAAAUGCUGAUGUGGAAAAUAAUGCAGCUGAACCUGUUGCGGAUGAAAAUUUGCAAUCAAGAAGUCCAAAUCGUCUUCAAUCAGAAAGGGUUGAAGAUGUACAGAUUCAAACUCAUGGAAACUUGGAGGAUAGACCACCAGAUCCUCUUAGCACGCCUAUAAUGUCAAAUUCUGUUCAGGAGAGUCCUCAAUUAAAGGAUAAGUCCUUGGGUAAUGGUGAAGGAACUACUGCAACUGAGACUCAUAGUUUUGCAAUUCCAAAGGAACAAAAUACUGAACUGGAGUUAGAUGCUUCAAAGAAGCUUGGCAGUUUCACUGACAACUCGGGUAUGGUAGCUUCUCCCUCUGUUAAGGUGGAACCUGGAGCUAGUUCUUCUAGUGCUGAUGCCACCUGUGCUAAAGAGGUAUUGGCAGAACCUGCAUAUCAAAACAAUUUUGAUGCCAAAGAGGAUGAUUCUGCUCCAAACAGUACUGCAAUUGUUGAUGCAGGAACAUCUGUAUCUCCACCAAAAGCUGGGACAGAAGAUGUGUUCAAGUCUAUGGCUAAAGAUGAUUGUUCUCCUGACAAUCUGCAGGAUUCAUCUGACAGUGACAGAAAAUUAGUAAAAACUGAGUAUUUAGGGACUCCUUUUUCGCGGAUGGCAGACAUUGGAGCAGUGGAUGAUGAUCGGCAGCAUAGCAGUGAUGGAGCUGAAGAUUUAAGAGAUGAUUCUGAUUUUUCUAAGGCAGACGUGGACACCCAGAGCCCCGAUCCAAUUGACAGGAGGAGAUCUGAUAUUGAACUUGAAUAUGGAAUAGUUGAUGCUCUCGAAGUUGCUCGACAAGUUGCACAAGAAGUGGAAAGAGAGGUGGUAGAUUACAGAGAACCAUCUUGCAGCUCAUCUUCAGAGAAAAUAAUGGAAAGUGGUGUUAGGAAGCCAGGUAGCCCAGAUUCUAUAAAUGCGAAGCAGGACUCACGUGUGGAGGUCCCUCUAGAAGACAUUCCAACUGGACAAAAUCAGCCUGCUGAGGCAUAUCCUGGGGAAGAGGGGCACUUAAUUAGUUCCAAUAAUAUGGAAACUGAAGCAAAAAAUGGCACACAUGAUUUGGAGUCCUCGCAGGUGACUGAAGUGGCUCCAGAGCCAGAAGUUAAAACAGAGAAAGAGUUAUGUACGUUUGAUCUGAAUCUAGAAGUCUGUUCUGAUGAUAUGGAUCGUCCAGUGAAUCCCAUCUCAACUCCAAUUUCAGUUGUUUCAGCUUCAAGGCCAGCAGCAGCAUCUGGAUGUCCUUCAGCACCUUUGCAGUUUGAGGGCAUUCUCGGAUGGAAAG